UGCAAGUCGAGCGGGUAUAGCAAUAUAUCAGCGGCGAAAGGGAGAGUAACGCGUAGCUACGUACCCCGGAGUCCGGAAUAGCCAGCCGAAAGGCUGGGUAAUGCCGGAUGAUGUCUCCGGACUAAAGGUGUGAUUCCGCUUUGGGAGCGGGCUGCGUUGUACUAGCUAGUUGGUAGGGUAAUGGCCUACCAAGGCGAUGAUGCAUACCGGGCGUGAGAGCGUGGCCCGGCUCACUGGGACUGAGACACUGCCCAGACACCUACGGGUGGCUGCAGUCGAGAAUCUUCGGCAAUGAGCGCAAGCUUGACCGAGCGACGCCGCGUGCGGGAUGAAGGCCUUCGGGUUGUAAACCGCGAAAGUAGGGAGGAAAUCGCUGGGGGUUCUCCCCCAGUGUUGACCUAUCUUCAGUAAGGACGGGCUAAGUUCGUGCCAGCAGCCGCGGUAAUACGAACCGUCCAAACGUUAUUCGGAUUUAUUGGGCUUAAAGGGUAUGUAGGCGGCGCUGUCAGUCGGGUGUGAAAGCCCUCGGCUCAACCGAGGAACUGCGCCCGAUACUGCAGUGCUUGAGGGAGACAGAGGUAAGCGGAACUGAUGGUGGAGCGGUGAAAUGCGUUGAUAU
rnacentral:rRNA from 1 species